rnacentral:SRP_RNA from 2 species
GCUAGGUGUGGUGGUGCAUGCCUGUAAUCCCAGCUACUCAGGAGGCUGAGGCAGGAGAAUCACUUGAGCCCAGGAGGCAGAGGUUGCAGUGAGCCAAGAUCGCGCCACUGCACUCCAGCCUGGGCGACAGAGCGAGACUCUGUCUCAA